rnacentral:rRNA from 1 species
CAACAGGGAUUGCCCCAGUAACGGCGAGUGAAGCGGCAACAGCUCAAAUUUGAAAUCUGGCUCUCGGGCCCGAGUUGUAAUUUGUAGAGGAUGCUUUUGGCGAGGUGGCUUCUGAGUUCCCUGGAACGGGACGCCAGAGAGGGUGAGAGCCCCGUAUAGUCGCACACCAAGCCUUUGUAAAGCUCCUUCGACGAGUCGAGUAGUUUGGGAAUGCUGCUCAAAAUGGGAGGUAUAUCUCUUCUAAAGCUAAAUAUAGGCCAGAGACCGAUAGCGCACAAGUAGAGUGAUCGAAAGAUGAAAAGCACUUUGAAAAGAGGGUUAAAUAGCACGUGAAAUUGUUGAAAGGGAAGCGCUUGUGACCAGACUUGUGCCGGGCUGAUCAUCCACCGUUCUCGGUGGUGCACUCGACCCGGCUCAGGCCAGCGUCGGUUCUCGCAGGGGGACAAAAGCUUCGGGAACGUGGCACCUUCGGGUGUGUUAUAGCCCGUUGCUUAAUACCCUUGUGGGGACCGAGGUUCGCGCUCUGCAAGGACGCUGGCAUAAUGGUCAUCAGCGACCCGUCUUGAAACACGGACCAAGGAGUCGAGGUUUUGCGCGAGUGUUUGGGUGUAAAACCCGCACGCGUAAUGAAAGUGAACGUAGGUGAGAGCUUCGGCGCAUCAUCGACCGAUCCUGAUGUAUUCGGAUGGAUUUGAGUAAGAGCGUAUAGCCUCGGACCCGAAAGAUGGUGAACUAUGCCUGAAUAGGGUGAAGCCAGAGGAAACUCUGGUGGAGGCUCGCAGCGGUUCUGACGUGCAAAUCGAUCGUCAAAUUUGGGCAUGGGGG